rnacentral:rRNA from 1 species
GACGUGAAACCGAUAUAAUGGAAGCGGAUGGAGCCGACGUAUCUUGCGCGUAUUCAAUCCCGCGACAUUGCAAUCGCUUCGUUGACACUCCGCAAGGUUGUCCUCGGAGUGUUGUUGUUGUGUUCGUUGGGUGCAUUUGCGUGCGGAGUGCGCCGAGUGGAUCGAUGUUGCUGCCGGAUGGGCGUAUAGAGGACUCGUUUACGAGAAUCCUGGACGUUCGGAUAGCAGGUUGAUGUUGGUUCGCUUAAUGGAGUGCGGGUGAAUUCGCGAUUGGAGUUGGUUGUGAGUUGUUGUUUCGGAUGGCACAUGUGUCUUUCGUUCCAGCGGCCUACGAUCGGUUUCCGUUGCCCCGGCAUUCGACUCGGUGUGUAGUCGGUCACCCAUUCGACCCGUCUUGAAACACGGACCAAGGAGUUUAAGGUGUACGCGAGUCAUUGAGCAGCAACGAAACUCAAAGGCGCAAUGAAAGUGAGACAUUUGAUGUCGACGAUGUGAGCGUUGGGCGUUUCGACGUCCGGCGCGCAACAUCGCCCCGUGACCAGGACUUGUUCUGUUGCGGAGGUUGAGCGUACGCUUUGAGACCCGAAAGAUGGUGAACUAUGCCCGAACAGGAUGAAGCCAGAGGAAACUCUGGUGGAAGUCCGAAGCGGUUCUGACGUGCAAAUCGAUCGUCUG